UACUGGGUGGUCCAAACAAAACCAAUAACCGUUUUUGAAUUACCAAAUUACCCUUCUGUAACCAGUCCAGUCCAGGCCCUCCUCCCCUCCCCGUAGAAAUUCAAACGAAGUUCCAAUUUCGUCUAUCGGGGACGCCGCGUUUGGAGAGCGAGAAAGCGAAGGUGAAACGAAGAGAAAAUGCUACCUCCGCAAUGGGCUUCCCCAUGUGGAAAUCAAUGCACUCACAAAUACGCUACUCUCAUGCAAAUUCCUUGGAGAGUGUUUUGCAAAAAAGGUUGUGAUGCGGAUGGAGAGACUUGGGAGGAAUGUUUGUCAGAGUGUGAAGAGAUAUGCUAUAAGGAUCCUGUAUUAAAGGACCAGAAAUGGAGUGCUUACAUUGACCGUUCUCCUGGGGCUGCCAAUUACUCUGAGGAAUGCUUCCAUGCUUGUGUAGCUGGCUGUGGUUAUAAGUUUGAAAUGUGUCAAGAGAAAGUUGAUCAAGUCCGACCAAACAGACCAUUGCCACCCAAGCCUCCUCCUGUAGAGAAGCCACCAAAACCACCUGUCACUAAUCCCGAUGAACCUGCUGAAGAUGUACCAAGUACUUCAGCAUAGCAAGAGGUGAAACGUAAACAUAUGAUUAAAAGUAUACCUCAAUAGUAUUGUUAGCUGACUAGUCCGGACUCUGCAAGGAGAUCCAUUUAUGUUACUCACAUGCUACUAUUGAUUGAUAUCUUGGGGCUGUUUUGGUGAAGAAGCAUAAUUUUUUGCUUCUAUAAUUUGCCCCUUGUCACCUUAGUUAACCUUCAAAUCAAUCUCCAAUUGUUCUGGAUCUCCACUAACUGAGAUGAAACAAAAUGAGCCAAUCCAGUUCGUUGCAUUUGAUUAUGGCUGAUCUUUUUGAAUGAAAAU